rnacentral:rRNA from 1 species
CCCUUAGAUGCUCUGGGCCGCACGCGCGCUACACUGGUCGAUGCAACGAGUUUCUUUCCUUGGCCGACAGGCCUGGGCAAUCUUUGAACAUCGAUCGUGAUCGGGAUAGAUUCUUGUAAUUUUUGAUCUUAAACGAGGAAUUCCUAGUAAACGCAAGUCAUCAGCUUGCAUUGAUUACGUCCCUGCCCUUUGUACACACCGCCCGUCGCACCUACCGAUUGAAUGGUCCGGUGAAAUCUCCGGACUGGCGUGAGUCGGAGCAAUCUGACAAACGCCGGAAAGUUGAUUAAACCUUACCAUUUAGAGGAAGGUGAAGUCGUANCA